GAGGCAGCCUGAUCCAUCACAAAGUCUUUGCCUUAGUAAGAUGUCUACAAAAGUCAGGGACUCACCUGCCUACUGCACAACUCCAUGAAAAUAUACAUGAACAGAUCGUCUUCAAAAGAAUGGGAGAAGCCCACAACGUUCUUGUGCCGUGGUUUUUUUUCAAAAUCUCCACUUCUUGACACACCUGAGUGAAAUAUCAAACACCAUCUCAUCAAGUAUUGUAACAGGGAAAUGCAGAUAAACUGCAAAGAGGGAUGACAUUAAGCACAAUCCAUACCACAUACCUCCUCCAGUCCCCAGGAAUGUAGAGGUAUGACCAUCACAGCAAAGGUGUCACCACUUUCAAGGUCGGUCAUCUUGUAGCACUUGCCACAAGCACCCUAAAGAACAUGUCAAUAAAGGGCAUUUCUGACUGACCCUGUUCAAGCAUCUCCUCUCCGCAGAAAAAAAUCAACUGUAAUCACUUUCAACAACAACUUUAUGGUGCACACCUGUCCCAAAAGCGGCCAAGACAGCUGGGCAAUUUGAACUUGCUAGAUGGAUUACAUCACCACAUUGAAAAUUCCAUGGACGGAAAAAGAGGUGAACUUGCUAAGACAUUGCAACAAAACACGGAUAAAAACUUUCAUUACAAGCAACUUCAUUGAAGAAAAAAAACCCAUCUCCGUUAUGUACACCAAACAUUCAGUUUCGGUAAUGCAGUAACACAUGCUCAGGAAUAAAGACUUUUAUGUAGUGUGCAGUGACUAUCACAUCAUAUGUUACUGCGGCUCUUUAGGCACUCAGCUAUCGGUCUCACUUUGUCAUACAGAACAGGGAUUCAUUUUCUGGUGAAAAACUUCCUAUGUGGUAUGUGAUACCUCAGCUCCAAGAUGUGGAGCAGUUAUCUAUUACACCGUAAGGCUGGAUAUUUUUACAAAUAAAGGUGGCAAUGGUGUCGGUUAUUGCCUUAGAACGAGCUGUUAGCUGGCAGGGUGUGAAAAUUAGGGCGUUUAUUUUUUUUAAAGAGUUUUGUGUUAUUUGAAAGCAUUGUGAAAUGUAAAAAAAAAAACAGUAAUGAUAUGAUGAAAAUGGGAAUACUGACGUUGACAAUGCCAAUAUAAUAUUUUGGUAUGUUAAGGCAUGUUUGUUCUCUGCUUUAAAGAAAGGGGGAUGUGUUGAUAUGUAGUGCAGUACUUUUGGUGACCAGCAGAGAGACCUGGAGGGUUGGGAGGAGGUAAAGACAAGGGGUAGGGAGACCGACGGCACAGAGCAGGUUGUGGGUUUGCAUGGAAGAUGUUGGUGGUUAAAUAAAAGUUCAUUGUUCAUGAAACAAGGUCUCUUCAAUGACAUAUGAACAACACAAUGUAUCUCUUCCUUCUCAUGAUAAUCUGACUCGCCAAACAUGCCUCCAGCUCGCGUGAUGUGGCCGAGGGACUUGAGGAGAAUUAUACACUGACAGCAGUGGAGAUGAGAGCGCACUUGAAAUUAUCAGGUAAGAGAGGGUUAAUCGAGCAAAAUGUACAAUUAUUGGUCAGAUAAUGUCGGUCAGAUUUCUAAAUAAUUAUGGCGUACGAAUAAUGAUAUAUCCGUAAAUCGUAUUUUACCGAUUUAAAGAUGUUCAUUAUUCAUUGUAUUGUCACGCCCCCCUCGGGAGAAUGCAGCGGCAGCAGCCACACCUGAGUUACGUCAACUCCCUGUUUAGUUCUGCUUGGCGCUGCAUUAUAUGCAAGGUACUGUUGAGGGUUUUCAUAAGAAGUACAGGGCGGUCUUCCUCCUGUCUACCCCGAUCCGGUCCAUCCGCCUGCUUUGCUGCCAUUCCAUCCCAUCCCAUCCUGAUCCUCCCGGACCUCUUCCUUGUACUUGUCCUUCGUCUCGCAUGCCACCUGUAGAACUGGCUUUUGGACUCGAUUGUACUUGCUGAUUCCAGUUCUGUUUGCGUGUUCCCAACAAUAAACCCCGUACAGUACGUUGCCUUCUGUGUCUCUACCAUCCUCUGGGGUUGCAUGUUGUGCAGUACUGUAGUAGCUUGGAUUCAACCAUUAGAUGGCAGUAGUAGCAUAUAGUUGGAGGGAAGUAGAAGAAGGCAAGAGAGGGAAGUUGAGUGUUUAUGCGUUGUUCCCGGAGCUGAUAAGUUAAUAAAUAUUGAACCUCUUGCCAUCCCCAAAUGUGUCUCGGCUGACUCUCAAUAUAUCAAAAGUACAUACCGUCUAUUUAUUUAUGUCUGCCCUUCAAACCGCUAGAUUCCUUCACUAAGCAGGAAGUUUGUCACGACAGCUGACACCAAAUCUCCUGCUGAGCUGGUUCAGACAGAACUAUCCUCAAUUCACCACGAGGGGGCGCCAACGCAGCAGCUUAGUUCUAUUGUUUCUCUUUUUCAAAGACAGUUUUUCUCUUCACAAAAGGACAACUUAACUGAAUAAUGCACUUUCAUAGUAAUUGUUUUUAAUCCGUGUUAAUGUUCUGAACAAUGACUACUAAAGGUUCUGUAAGGUUGUCCCACAUACUAUGGAUUUUAAGUUUUUUAUCAAGGUGUUAAAAUGUACCAUCUAUUUUCUGCUGAAAGUUGCCAGUCCUGUGUUUUAUGUCUAGCAAUUUGUACAGUUUCUUCAGUAUGGCGCAUAAACACAUGCCAUCAUCUAUAGUAUGAGAAUCUCCUCCAGAACUCUGCAUUUCCUCAAGAUUUUUUCUCAUGAACCUUAAUUUGCCAAGCAUGUAUUGACUGGGCACAGUACAGUGGUGCAAUUUCUGACAAUGAAAGAACAUCAUGGACCCCUACUCCCCAUUCCUUAACCCGAUCGAGGGGCUCUGCUCAGCAUGGAGUUAGAAGGCUUACGAUCGCCAGCCACAUGCUCAGAUGACCCUGCUGGCUGACAUGGAUGCAGCAUGUGAGGACAUUACAGCAGAUGCCUGCAGAGGCAGACACUUCACUGGCUGUGGAUGUUGUUCAGCCCAGAUACCUGAUGAGGGUCCAGCAUGGAGACAGUGUGACCCUGACAUGCUUCCGUCCAGAAGAUAUUUCUUUUGCAGUUUGGUUUUAGCAAGCUGCUGGUCAGAAGCCCCAGCUCAUGGCGAAAGCACUUCUCUACGUACCUGGUGAAUUUUACAAGGAAUAUAAAAACAUAAAACGUUACUCCUUACUGAAUGCAGAGGGGAGUUUUAACCUCACUAUUUCUAACGUGGAGCCGUCAGAUUCUGCAGUGUAUUAUUGCGCUGCUCUGUUCUAUAAUGAAAUCGCAUUUGGAAAUGGAACCUUUGUCAUAAUCACAGAUAAAUGAGAUUCCAACUA